GAUCCAGAGCUGCUACUGAUACAGCACACACAGCUCUGCAUAAAAGGCAGCUUCUCCCUCACUCUGUUCCACCCCUGCACCACAAAGAGAAGAGGAGGAAAGCAACCAGAAGAAGCUGGAGAAGAGCAGAGUCAUUUCUGCAUUAGUGCACUGAGCAGACAUGGAGACCUGCAGAACUAUAAAUACAGUUCACUGUUUAUUUCAGUGGUCUGUGUGGAGAACAUACUUCCUGCCCAGCGGAAGGAAACAUUUGCUAGAAGACAUUACACUCCUGUGUUGGGCAUGUGAGAUAUAGACUGCUUUUUGACAAGAGAUUUCUUGUAGAUGACCACAAAGACCAGUGGUGUUUUAUUGAAUGGUGCUUUGCUGUAGCUGAAAGACACUGGCAGCCAGCAGUUCAGUUGGUGAGGAACAUGUCCAUUAUGAACCUCAGAGCAGUGGGAGGAGUUAAGACACAAGGAAAAGAUUCAAGGAAAUCAGACCACAACGCACAAGUAGGUGUGGUGUGAUGCUGAGAGGUUGAAGUAUGGCCAACAACUCAAGUUCCAGUCCCAGUGAAGGACACAAGAACAGCUAAGGCAACUGAAGCAUUUCUAAUAAAGCUGACUGAGAUGCUCCAGGAGGUCAUGGAGACACAACCGUCCAGGAAUGAACAGGUGGAGCGAGAAGCCAUCAGUCAGGAGUAGUGGUGGAGGAGCCUACAGCACUAGGUCCAACAGGUGGACCAGCAAGGAUGGCCUUAAGAGGGUUUGAACAGGAGAAGAAGAGGAGUAGAGAGCACUGCCAGACUUUAGAGAGCCCACACUGUAUCCCUUGAUUCCAAAAGAGAACAUUGAGCACUUUGUGGCAACCAUCAAAUGGAUUGCAAAGUUCUGCCACUGACGCAAAGAGGACUGGGCAAUUCAGUUAGUUCCCCUGCUUACCAGUAAAACCUGAAGUUCAUAUGUGGCCAAGGACAGUGAGUAUGCUGAGGACUAUGAGAACAUCAAAACUACUAUUCUUGCUAAGUAUGAAAUAAUGCAGGAGAUUUACUGCCAGAGGUUUUUUUGGACUGGAAGUCUAUCCUGGGGAGACACCAUGUGAAUUGUAUGUCUACCGGAAGAAGUUAUUCUCCAAAUGGGUCAGACCUAAACAGAAGUUAGCAAAGGAAAUAUAUGAGAUGAUGAUCCUGGGGCAAUUUACACAGAUAGUGAACGCAGAGAUGAAGGUGUGGAUCAAGGAUGGAAACACCAAGACUGCAGAGGAGGCAGCACAGUUGUAUGAAGUCUUCAUCUGUGCCAGAAGGAGUUGAGGACUCUGUGGCUUCAGCCGUGACCACUCCAACUAGUUUCUACAGGCAUCUACAGGAUUCUCUCCCUUCAUGUUGCGCUAUGGACAUAACACAUCUUUUGCAGUGGACCAUCACUUAGCUAGGUCUUCUUUUUCUUAUGAUGACAUGUACCCCACUACCACCUCAGAGACAUCCACCUGGAUGACAAAUGACAAUGAGAC